AGAGAGGGGUGUCUGUAUACGCGAUUUCAAAUUAGAUGCUGUUCUCUCUUCACAUUAAUUAGAGAUUUGGGAUCUGAUGUUUUUUUUUUAACUUACUAGUCAAAAAGUUAUUACUACUUAAAGUAGUAUCAGAAUAAAACGUCACUUCGAGUUUCACACCCUUAUUUGUACUGUACACAAAUAUUUGCCGCCAUUUUUUUGGAGGCAGAGCCUCUACUCACAAGUCUUGCGUUCUUACAUUAUCACGAUCAGGCAACCGGUGGAUACAGUUGAACGUUUUAGGCCAGUCCUUGAAAUGACUACUAAAAAGAAACGCUCUGUGCACGCCGACAAAGACAGCUGGGUUGUCAUUACUCCAGAUUCGGCACUGGACACAGGCAGGUCUGAAGAGGGUGAUCCGUCCUUCAUCAAACUAAAGAAUCCUGCUACAGGAAGUUCUUCACUGUACCUGUUUGGUUGUGGCGAUUGCAGUGUUUAUGAAGUAAAAGCCUUUUCUGAAGACUUUCGGUCUUGGUUUAUUGGACAGACAUUGC